rnacentral:rRNA from 1 species
AACGCUGGCGGCGCGCUUAACACAUGCAAGUCGAGCGAGAACCAGGGCUUCGGCUCUGGGGACAGCGGCGAACGGGUGAGUAACACGUGGGUAAUCUGCCCUCGGCAUCGGGAUAGCCCGGGGAAACCCGGAUUAAUACCGAAUAGCCUCCGGAGCCUUCGGGCGUCGGAGGAAAGGUAGCUUCGGCCUCUGGCCGAGGAUGAGCCCGCGGCGGAUUAGCUCGUUGGCGGGGUAACGGCCCACCAAGGCGACGAUCCGUAGCUGGUCUGAGAGGGCGAUCAGCCACACUGGGACUGAGACACGGCCCAGACUCCUACGGGAGGCAGCAGUGGGGAAUCUUGCGCUAAUGCGGGAAACCGUGACGCAGCGACGCCGCGUGAGGGAAGAAGGCCUUCGGGUUGUAAACCUCUUUCAGGAGGGACGAAGCUACUCGGGUUAAUAGCCCAGAGGGUGACGGUACCUCCAGAAGAAGCCCCGGCUAACUACGUGCCAGCAGCCGCCGUAAAAC